AGUGCAAAACUGAUUUGGAAGCCUUAGUUGUAGAGAAAACUCACCUCACUAAUCCUUCAUCAUUUUUCUCUUAAGAAGCUCCCUUUGUUUUUCUCAAAGAAGUCCAAGCUUGAAUCCAAGACCAAAACAUUCACUCCAUCUCUGAGUUUCUUAAGUAACGAGUAGAUGCAUGGGGAAAAAUGGGAUGAACCUACUAAAUAAAAGAAAGUUUUUCCUACUGCUAUUUCAAGAGUUUGAGUACUGUAAUAUGUUUUGCUAAACUUUGGUAUUGUAUAAAUAAUGAUUUCGUUUCCUAAUAAAAGUACUAUUCAGAUA